CAUAAUACCCUCCAGUUCCAUCCGCAUCAAUGUAAAUGAUCCCUUUGUCAUUAUUUUCCAUGAUUUCUUCCUUAGAAUCUUGAUUCUUCCCUAUUGAAGCACAUAUUUUUGUCCACACUCCUGAGGUGAAUCUGGAAGGAAUUCCAGCCGCAAAAGGCUGUCCCAAGGCCAUGGUUUUCUGGAAAUCCCAGUGGGAAGGAA